UUUAUUUUGAGAGUUUGAUCCUGGCUCAGGAUGAACGCUGGCGGCGUGCUUAACACAUGCAAGUCGAGCGAAGCACCUAAGAAAGAUUCUUCGGAUGAUUUCUUAGGUGACUGAGCGGCGGACGGGUGAGUAACGCGUGGGUAACCUACCUCAUACAGGGGGAUAACAGUUAGAAAUGACUGCUAAUACCGCAUAAGCGCACAGUGCUGCAUGGC
rnacentral:rRNA from 1 species